rnacentral:tRNA from 1 species
AUUUUCUUAGUACAGAAGUAUAGGUGACUUCCAAUCAUCUGACCUUGGUUAAACCCCAAGAGAAAAUA